CCAAUAUGGGUUCUGGGGGGGUGGAUCAAACUAAUGUAGGUUCAGAGGAUGAGAACAGAGAACUGGGCCAAACCACUGGAGAUUGCAAGCCUCCUCGCACAACUGCCAGUGUGCAAAGCAGGGGGCGGAGCUCGGGGGGGACCCAGCUGUGCCCCCUGCCUGGUGACGUCACGAGGAAGUCCCGCCCUGCAGAGAACAGGAAGUCCUGCCCUGAUGCAAAGAGGAGGUGUGCCUGGGAAAGAAUGGGGAAGCCCUGCCUAUAUGCAGAGAGGACCCACAGAGAACAGGAAGUCCCACCCACCCUGCAGAGAACAGAACAUCCCACCCUACCAAGGACAGGAAGUCCCACCAUGCAGAGAACAGGACGUCCCACCCCUUCCCAGCAGAGCACACAUACCCCUGUCACCCCAAGGAGGAAGGAAAUUCUGUCCUGCCGCCACAUGACAAAGACCCCCUUGCCCCAGUCAGCACACAGGAAGUCCCGCCCUCAGCCUUGUUGGAACAGGAAAUCCCACCCUUUCAUGCUCCCAAGAAGUCUGUGCCUCCCUUCCGGCUCCAUCCUGGUCUCCCCAGCUUCAUCUCUUUCCCCCCAGUCCAAGCUUGAGAGCCCCAGGGACACCAUGAAUGGCCACUGCUUGAGAGCCCUGGGGACACCAUGAAUGGCCACCGCAGACCGGGGCAGCCCAUCUCCUUGCCAGCCAAGAGGAACCUAGAAUGCUGGGAGGAAGCCAGAGCAGCCACCACCGAGGUGGCUGGUGCGGCCUCAGGUCCUGCCCCCCACACAACACCACCAGGAGACCUCAUGGGCAGGUCAGGAGCACAACAAUGUCCAGCCCCCGGGGCAGGGCAGCCAGCCCAGCCCAGACAGCCACCGGCAACGUAGAACACCAAGAGAUGAUCUGGGGACACCUAAAACGCUAAGGGUUGCCCUAAAUCACCAAGGGCCACCCAAAAAGCCACAACAUGAUCUAGAACAGCAAGGGCCAUCUAGAACGCUAAGGGGUGACCUGGGUCACCAAGGGCCAUCUAGACUGCCAGAAUGUGAUCUAGAACACAGAGAUGAUCUAGAACACCACAUGUCAUCUGGACCCCACUCUGUGAUCUAGAACACCAAGGGAUAUCAAGAAACUCGCUAAGUGAUCUAAAACACUGUGGGCCAUCUAGAAACCCACUAUGUUAUCUAGAACAGCGUGGGUCACUCCAGAACUGUAAGCAGUGACCUAAAUCACCACAGUCCAUCUAGAAAACCACAAAGUGAUCUAGAAUAGCAACAGCCAUCUAGAAUGCUAAAAGGUGAUCCAGAUCACCAAGAGCUAUCUAGACCACCAAGAGAUGAUCUAGAAUACCACAGGCCAUCUAGAAACCUGCUAUGUGAUCUAGAACAGCAAAAGCUGUCUAGAAACACUGUGAUCUAGAACGCCAAGGGCCAUCUAGACGCUAUGAGGUGACCCAGACCUCCAAGAGUCAUCUAGAAUGCCAGGAGGUGAUCUAACACACCAAGAAAUGCUCUAGAACAUCACAGGCCUUCUAGAAAACCAUGGGCCAUCUAGAAUUCUAAGGGGUGACCUGGAACAUCAAGGGAUAGCUAGAGCACCAGGAGAUGAUCCAGAACACCAAGGAUCACCUAGAACACCAAGGACCACCUAGAGCACCACAUGGUGACCUAGAACACCAGUAUAUGAUCUAGCACACCAAGGGCCAUCUAGAACUCUAAGAAGUGACCGGAACCCCAAGGGCCACCUAGAGUACCACAAGGUGAUCUAGAGCACUGAGAGAACAUCACAGAACCUCUAGAGCACCACAAGGAGAUCUCUAACACCAAGGGCUACUGAGGAUGCCAUGAGGCAACUAGACCAUUAAGAGAUGCUUAGAACACCAAGGGGCAAGCUAGAACACUGAGUGCCACCUAGAAUGCCAUGAGGUGCCUAGGAAGCCAAGAGGCAACUUCAACUGCCACGGCAACCUUGAGAGCACCUUGAGGCUCCUAGAAUACCAAUGGCAACCUAGAUCACCAAGGGCAACCCAGAGUAUCUUGGGGCACCUAGAACACCAAAGACAACCUAGAUUGCAAAGGGCAACCUAGAGCGCAGGUGGCAACUUAGAGCUCCUUGAGGCACCUAGAUCACCAAGGGCAACCUAGAGCACCUUGAGGCACCUAGAACACCAAUGGCACUCUAGGUCACCAAGAGCCACCUAGAACUCCACAAAGCACCUUGGACACAGAAGGGCGACCUAGAAUUCCCCAGGUCCUGGAAUGCUGCCCCAGCUGCUCUGGUGUGGGGCAGGGGGGAAGGGGAAGAAGGAGCAGGUCCCGCGAGGGCUAAAAUCCAUCGUCACAUGGAAGAGAGAGCGAGCGCCGAGCAAGCCCGGGGCCGAGAGGUAUUUCCGGAGGACGAGGUUUGGCACACGGCCAGCUCGGGGGGGGCAACUGCCCCUCUCUCUCUCUCCCUCACCGCCCCCACCACCCAUCUCCACCCUGGACCCCCCCACCCCGCCCCCUUCUCUCCACUCGUCUUUGGUUGCAAGAUUUUUUUUUUUAAUUAAAAAAAUAACGAUCA